CUUCCAGUAGCACCUUAGAGACCAACUAAGUUUGUUAUUGGUAUGAGCUUUAAAGCUCAUACCAAUGGUAUGGUAAAGCUUUAAAGCUCAUACCAAUAACAAACUUAGUUGGUCUCUAAGGUGCUACUGGAAG